AGCACCUGCACCUCUCUCUGUUGAACUAAUGUACAAAGAAUUAAAAGCAGGUGCAAAAAUAAAUCCUCUUUUGCAACCAAGAUCUCAUUGUUAAGUAUGAGUUUUGACACAUAUAAGAAGGAGUAAC
ensembl:snoRNA